GAUGAACGCUGGCGGCGUGCCUAAUACAUGCAAGUCGAGCGAACAGACGAGGAGCUUGUCCCUCUGACGUUAGCGGCGGACGGGAGUGUAACACGUGGAAAAUCCACCUAUAAGACUGGGAUAACCUCGGGAAACCGGAGCUAAUACCGGAUAAUAUAUUGAACCGUAUGGUUCAAUAGUGAAAGACGGCGUUGCUGUCUCUAAUAGCUGGAUCUGCGCCGCAUGAGCUAGUUGGUAAGGUAACGGCUUACCAAGGCAACGAUGCGUAGCCGACCUGAGAGAGUGGUCGGCGACACUAGAGCGGGAACACGGUCCAGGCGCCUGAGAGAGGCAGCAGUAGGGUACGUUCCGCAGUAGUGGAGAGCAUGGCAGAACAGCGCCACGUGUGAGAUGAAGAUCUUCGGAGCGUAAAACUCUGUUAUUGGGGAAAAACAAAUGUGUAAGUAACUAUGCACGUCUUGACGGUACCUAAUCAGAAAGCCACGGCUAACUACGUG
rnacentral:rRNA from 1 species